GUUCACUUUUAAUCUUCUUAAUUGCAUGAUUCAUUUACAGGAUUUCCAAUUGGCUCUUUUUUAAAGUUUAAAUUUCUUUGUUAAAGGACUCCUUUUGUUCAUUGAUUUGUUUUCUGAAUGCACUGAAUUGCCUAUAUGUAUUUUCUCGAAUUUUGAUGAGUAUUUUCAGGACUGCAAUCUUGAAAUCUCUCUCAUUUAUAUCACAUAUUUCCAUGUGUUCCAGCUUGCUUUCUGGGGAUUUUUCAUUUUCUUUUUGGUCAUCCUCAUUGCUGUGUUUCUCCAUGGUAUUUGCUGUCCUUCUUUGCUUACGCAUUUAUCUUUGAUGAGGUCUUUCUAUUAUUUUCAAGUAGAUGGUACCAAAUCACGAGAUGUUUUGUCUGCCGAUUCCCCUCCAUGGCUUCCAUAUGACAGUACAACCAUGCUGCUUGGAAGUGGGGUUUGUUUUGCCCUCACCAUAAAGGUGACUCCUGACUCCAUGGGGUCCUGCCCCAAACACCCAUCCUGGGGAUCAGUCACAGAGAGAAACAGUUCUACUGCAACAGCUUUUGGUUUAUAGAUAAUAUGCUCCUGGACCAAGGGUAAAGGGAGAAGAGUUUGGGGAGUCGAAGUGGCGGUAGGGCUCUCUGGUUAUGUUUCUUAGUUUGACACACCACUGCCGACCCCACAGUGGAGAGCUGCAAGGCAGAACCCCAUGCUCUGUCAGGCAUCUGCUGGCUCAGCCAGUGUUCACUCCAUCACCACUCCCCCUUCCUAGCUGCAUGCCCCCUUUGGCCUCCACACCACCAGCACCACCACCCACCACCACCACCACCACACCGCAGCUCUCUGUUCCUUCAGGCUGAUGGAAGCGCCUGCUACUACAGGCUUUCUCCCUCUCCUGACCGACUGAGCCAUAAGCUCCCAGCUGCAGGGCUGUGUCUUCAGGCCAUCUGUGCUUUCCUCUCUUCUCUUCUUCCCAUUUAUUUCCGGUUGCCCACAUUUAGAUGUUUCAGUGUGUGGGUCUCUCAGGUGUGCAUCUAUGUUGAGCAGAGAUUUCUUUGUUGAAUUAUAGUUGGUUAACUUUUUUGAAAUUCCAGGGGAAGAGGAAAAGGUGCACUUUCAUGCUAUUCCUCUGAUAUCCUAAGAUGAAGUGAUUUCUAAGCAUUCUUUAAUUCACAUUCCCAUUUGCCUCUUUGGCUGUAUUAGAAAUUAUAUCAAGGUGUUUUCACCUAUAAUUUGUAGAACACCUGGUUUAAAAAUGGCUUAAACAAAAGGAUUUUGUUAUUUAAAUGAAUAAGAAGUUUGGAGAGAAGUGAUUCUAAUUUCCAGUGGGCCAAACAUACUCAGGUGCCAGAGGCUUUCUAGCUUUCCUUUCUGCCAUCUACAGCCCAUUGCUUUCUCUUCACACUUGCCCCAUGAUUGAGAGGUGACAACCUGUGCUCCAGGUAUUACAUUUACACAACUGAAUUCACAAUUAGAAAAGUUAUUUCUCUUUAGUUUCUAUUAUUUCAGGAGGAAAAUAUUAAUGAGAAGGUACCCACCCUCCACUGCAGAAUUUCCCAAAUUUCUUAUUGGCCAGAGUUGAAUCACAUCCCAUUUCUAAAGCUAUCUUUGACAAGGAGAAUGGAAUUUCCAUUACUUCCUUUGACUACACAACAUUCACCCUUUGAGUUUGGAAAAGGGGCCACCAUCCCUUAGCUUUGUGGGAGGAAGAAUGCCCACAAAAAAUAGCAUCCUACAAGAAACAAUGAGUGGGGAAAAUAACCAUUUGCAGGGUGAUUUGUAGUGUCUUUCAUUGGCAUUUUUGAAGAAUAAAGAUCCAGAUAAGCUGAUGAAUUGGGGAAGAAUGCGCCUUAUCCCCUCUUUACAAAAAAUAUCUCAUACUUACCUCAUGUCUUCUUGUAUUAUAUAUUGCUGGUUAAGAAGCUCUCUGGAAGAAAUCAUAUGUUGAAUAAAUGGUGACAAUUAUACCCAAUUAUCCUGUGAGAAUACCUACCAGUGGGAUUAUUUUAGUGUUGGAGGAUUGAAAUUGUGAGGCUGUGGUCAUCUAGAAAGAAUUCUUCUCAGCUCUUGAGAAUCAGGGUUCCCUGUGAUUAGAGGGGGAAAUUAGAUAUCCCUUCAUUAGUUCAACAGAUAUUUAAAGAGUCUUCCAUGAGCCCAGAGCUGGACUAGGCACUAAGGGUUGACUGCCAUGUAAGAAAUUAGCCCUGGUUUCCAUAACUCAUAGUUUAUUUUGAGAGACAGACACCUGACCUGGUGAUUUCAAUGCACAGACGUAACAGCUAUGAUGAGACUAAACCCAGGAAGUCCUAGGGACAAAGAUAAGGAGCCCAGAUCUGGUCUUGGGGGUUUAGAGAAGACUCACAGAGAAAGUGACAUAAAACCUGAGACCAGAGGUGAAUUUUCCCUGAAGUUUAUAAAGCUUAAGCCUCAGUCACCACAGUUAAUACUGGGAGUUGUAGCGUGUUCUUGGUGGAAAGGAGAAGUCAAGAUGCAAUGUGGAAUCUCAUUUACUAAGCAUUUCUACCACAUUGUCCAAGGAGAUCACAGAAGGAACCUGGAUCUCUAAGCCACUAGUAAUUUGUUGUGAUUUCCUUUUCAUUCUAAAUAUUCUCUCAUUUCAUAUCUAAUGUUGAAUUUGUUUUAAAAUCAUUUUUUCAAAGCCUCUUCUCAGACCAAAUUGUCUAUGCUUCAUGCCUCAUAAAACUUGUAUCUGUCUCUGCUUGAGAACUGAAGCAUAAAUAGGCACUUACAUGUUGAAGGCACUAGAAAAAAAUGUUCCUGGUAAAGGGACAUGUGCAGAAGCCUGGAAUUAGUAAGAACAACUUUUAUCAUUAGGUAACAGACCUGUAGGCUAAUGUUGCUUACCAUGGGAGUUAGAUGAGAUUGGAGAGGAGACCAGGAGGCACAUUGUGAGAGGGAGAAUAAAAUGAUAAUGUUGACACGAGCCAGGUACUAUGCUGAAUGUCUUAUAUACAUGAACACUUUUAUUUAUCACAUCAAUUUUAUGAAGCAGUUGCUGCAAUUGUUUCUAUUUUACAGAAAAGAAAGCUGAGACUAGUGAGAUAAAGAAGCUUUCCUGUGGUUGCAUGCCGGGUAACAGGGUUGGGAGUCAAGCCCAAUAUUGUCUGGUGCCAAAGUCUAAGUCUUUAACCACUAGGCUCUCCUAACUCCUGAAUUUUGCCCAAUUUGAAGAUGUGUUUAAGUUUGGCAGAUGCCAGAGACAACGGGAAGAAACAAGCCUGGUGGCAUUUCCUGGGGUACCCUGAUUUGAAGGGGCAGGAUCAUGAAUAUUCAAUAGAGAGCAUUGUUUCUGCUGUGUUAUAAGGCUGAGGGCUGAGGCAAGGCACCUUUUACAAUUCCAAGCACUAGAGCCAUGCUCUGAAGAACCAUGAGCAGGUCACUGGGCUGAAACCAUGAAGAUCCCAGAGGAAAGAACUUUGGACUUAAAAUACUACUUUUCUACAACAAUCUUUGCACUCAGGGCUACGCUCCUCUUUUCCUGGAAAAACUGAUAGGACUCACUGAAGGACAACUAGUGAGUUAGAGCACAACUGAGCCUAGAAUCUAGUUUAGCAAGUCUUAUUUUUUUUAUUUGUUUUUGUAGCCAAAAGAGUUAACUCUACUUAAGUAGAAAAAAUAUUUUCUUCAAAGUGAUAUUUUAUGAGGGAGACUAUUAAGUGCUCUCACAUUGUUGAAGAAGACAGUUUGCUUAAGGGGUCAUAGUUACAUGACAUUUGAUGGUGUCAGGCAAAGGUCCAAGAAAGGCUUCAAUCCCUACACAGACCAUCUACCUCUUUCUCUAAUGUCCCCAAAGAGAGUGUUUCCUGAGAGAAAUAAGCAAGAUAUCUUAUCUCCUUCAACCCCAAUGCAAAACUCUAGUUAGUUGGUCUAACUCAUCUAGGAGGAUACUUUUCCUCACAAUAGAAAGGUUUAAGUAGCUUAAAUGUUUAACAGCAGGCUAUAAAGACUACCCUAUAUAUUUUGUCUCACUGCCAAUACUCAACUCUUGAAAUUACAAGACCAAUGGGAGAAAAAGUUCAACCACUUGUUCCAAUUGUUUAAUGGGCUUACUGUGGACUAAUUUUGACCCUGAAAUCUGAUCAAUUGUCCUUGGACAUCUUGAAGGAUGGAGAGGGUCCCAGAAGUUGUGAAAGGAAACAGAGUGGUCUUCUUCAGCUUCCAGAGUCAUACAC